rnacentral:rRNA from 1 species
UACGAAGGGGGCUAGCGUUGCUCGGAAUCACUGGGCGUAAAGGGUGCGUAGGCGGGUCUUUAAGUCAGGGGUGAAAUCCUGGAGCUCAACUCCAGAACUGCCUUUGAUACUGAAGAUCUUGAGUCCGGGAGAGGUGAGUGGAACUGCGAGUGUAGAGGUGAAAAUUCGUAGAUAUUCGCAAGAACACCAGUGGCGAAGGCGGCUCACUGGCCCGGGUACUGACGCUGGACGCACGAAAAGGCGUGGGGGAGCAAACAGGGA